GGAUUAAUGUACUGGAGUCUCC
rnacentral:siRNA from 1 species